rnacentral:rRNA from 1 species
UACAGAGGGUGCGAACGUUGCUCGGAAUUACUGGGCGUAAAGCGCAUGUAGGCGGAUCCAUAAGUCGGGCGUGAAAUCCCCAGGCUCAACCUGGGAACUGCGCUCGAAACUGUAGGUCUUGAGUGUCGGAGAGGAUGGCGGAAUUCCUGGUGUAGAGGUGAAAUUCGUAGAUAUCAGGAGGAACACCGGUGGCGAAGGCGGCCCAUCUGG